UAAGUUGGUAGUGAAAUCCUGGGGCUCAACCCUUUAAACAUUAUCAAAACUGCUCAGCUAGAGGACGAGAGAGGUCACUGGAAUUUCUAGUGUAGGAGUGAAAUCCGUAGAUAUUAGAAGGAACACCGAUGGCGUAGGCAGGUGACUGGCUUGUUCCUGACACUAAGGCACGAAAGCGUGGGGAGCGAACGGGAUUAGAUACCCCGGUAGUCCACGCCGUAAACGAUGGAUGCUA
rnacentral:rRNA from 1 species